rfam:Ixodes scapularis strain Wikel colony gcontig_1108379462138, whole genome shotgun sequence.
GCCUCGGUGGCUCCCAGGUGAGAGCGCUGGUCUACAGAUCCCCAUGUGGCGGGUUCGAAUCCCGACCGAGGUG